GGGCAGAGAGCCUUGGAGGCUCGGGUAGGGCGUCCACGCUCUCGCCGGAAUGUGUAGAUACAUCCUGGAAAGAGAUGCUCUCUGAGAUACAUCCUGUAGCCCUAUUUGCCAUGAGACUUUCUGGCACCUUUUAGUACUACUUUUUGCCAGGGGUGGGAUACAGUCCUAAAUCCUUCACUCAGCAAAUCUUGAAGAAGACCGUGGGUGGUCCGUGUGUCCAGGUGGGAUGCUUCUGCUUCCUAGCGCCCCCUGAGGUUUCUGCUGGCCAUUGGCUCUUGGCUUAACACUCCACGAUUUAGGCAGUUGCCCAUUAAACAGAUGCCACUUUCAGCAACAGAAGACAGCCCCUGGAGCCAGUUUCACAGGGGUGUUCUGAGGCCCAGUGAGGUGACAUGAGCCGUGUUGGUGACGUAAUGACACAAGCAUGCAGAACCAUGCUGCUGGGAGAGCAGGUGACAGCCAGACACAGCCACAAACUGGCUGGCAGCAUCCCCACCUGGUGGCACCUGAGACACAUGUUGACAUCACUCCCUCUGUGUGGAGGGGAAAGGAUGACAGGACCCAACCCCAGGCAGGAGAUUUUGGUGCCACUCCUCGGGGCAGGAAUGUGGGAAAUGGCAGGCCAGCCCUCUGGAGGAGGAACUGUGAAGGGCCCAGUGCCACAUGCCUCAGUUUCCUGCCUGGCUCUUCCACAGAGGCCAGCUGGUGCAUCUGAGCAUGGCGCCUCAGGGCAGAGCUCCACGGUGUGCACUGGGGGAAGAGAUGCAGAGCUUGUCUCCUCAGCCCACGUCUGUGCAGUCCUUUUGUGUUUUUCUAGCCAAGCAAUCCCUUACACUGGUUCCAAGCCCUGUGACCUCUCUGCCCUCACUGCCAGCGUUACUAAAAUGUUCCAGCAGAGCUCCACUCGAUAGAGAAUAUGGGUGGAGGAAACCCAGAAGAGUCGGUCCCACAUGCUCUCCAUCACUUUUACCUUCCUGCUCUGCCCCAGCUUUCUCAUCCCCUUUUAUCCCUUCGCCUCCCUUGGUGUUUCGUCUUGCUUAGACCUGAAGUUCUGCGAGCGCUGUUGGCAGUGCCAAGCUUAGUGCAGUUCCUUGGGGUGAAAGCGUUGGUCCCACCCAAGACUGUGCAGCCAGCAUGUGGCAGUAGCCGCUGGGGGAGUUGUGCAGCCUCUGUGUAAAGAUCUCUCCAUCCCAAGUAGCACCCCUUAGCAUGGUGCCCUAUACCAUCUGUACCACAUGAGUUGCAGAGAAAAUGCUCCUUGAAUAAUUUCAUGAUUUAAAAAGGCAAAAAAUACAAAGGGUUAUUAAAAGGAAAAGCAAAUCAGAAGCCACAAAGGAAAAUUUUAAUAAUAUUUGAAUCAAAACGUUCUCUAAUUGCAGCUCGUGUGCUGUUCAGUCUCCCCUUCACUCCUACCUCAAGCACUGUUCAGUAGGGGUUUUUGCUAACUUCCCUUUGCUUUUCCUGUUUGAUUUCAUCAUCACUGUCUUGGGAGCAUCUGCAGUACUGGGCCCUGUGAAACACAUUCCACCCACAGGAGCUGCCCGCACCUUUCCCCAGGACAGGUACCUUGGGAGGAUCGAGCGCACACAAAACGGAGCACAGCCUGCUCCAAGUGUGGGCACUGCCUGAGGGGACGAGUCACUGCAGGGGCGGAGCGAGGCCAGAGGAAGUGGCUAGGGAAGGGUCAGGACAGUUGUACAAAUAGCAAGCCGACAGUGUAGACAUGGUGUCAGAUGGGAGGCCUCAGAGGAGCUUGACGGGGACAGAGAUUCGAGCAGGGCUCAUACGGGAGAGCGGUGUGAGACACGUCCUGAGUGUGGGCAUCAGGUCAGCAGAUCCACAGAGCCAGCGAGGAGGGGCCCAUGUCAUCAAGGGCUGAGAGUGGGCGGGUGGGAGACAGGACCGUGAGUCUGGCACCAGUACCAGCAGCACUGGGGAAGGUGAGAGAGAAGGUAGCAGGCAGCCCUGAGGAUGGCGGAGUAGAGAGCACGGGCUUCCAAGGGAAGGCUGCUUUGCUCGGCAGGGCCAUGCUGGAGGCUUGACCUAGCCAAGACAUGGGAAACCUUGAGCCCUGAGCCCUGGGGGUAGGGGAGAAGCAGCUUGUGCUACAGGGUGUGACCAGGGAAGCAAGAGGCAGCAGGGGACGGGAGAAGUGGAGCGGAGGGUACUCAGGGUACGCAGAAAUCUCACAAGGCAGGAGGGGCCAGCCAGGUAGCGAGCUGGCCAGGCCUGGGCUGGGGAUCGUGCCCUGUGGUGAUGGGAAUUCACAGGUCCAAGCUCUCCCCCACCUUCUUCCUCUUGCAGUAGCUACAGCAGCACCAAGUUGCACACAAUAGAUGUGCAAAAUGAUACAUUUUUCUGAUAAAAGGUAUACAUAUUUCCGUUUACUGAGUAGAGAAUGUUAUUUUAUGACUGAAAUUUUUUGUUUUAAUUUCAGAGAUGGGGUCAGGCUGGAGUGCAGUGGUGUGAUUAUAGCUCACUGCAGCCUCAAACUCCUGGCUCAAGCCUCCCACCUCAGCCUCCCAAAGUGCUGAGGUUACAGGUCCGAGCCACUGUGCCCAGCCUGUUUUAGAUUUUUAAAACAGCUGUAUAGACAUUACUUUAAAGGGCACAGGAAUAUACUAGGAGCUUAAUAGGGAUCAGAGCUGCACAUCCCAGUCACGCCAAUGGAGAGGCUUUACUGAACUUGGGGAUUCAGCCCGGAACACUGCACCUCCCACAGCUGUAAACCUGCAUGUAGGCACGAGGAUUUUCCAGGUCCCCAGGCAGCGACCUCAGCUGUCCACCCCUGGAGGAUGUGGAAGACCCUCCUCCCCUACCUGAGGUGGGAGAAUUGAAGGCAUUGACUGUCGCCACACAACACAGCAGGGACCGGGCACGCUCUCGCUCCCCUCAAAUCCCUGAGUGGAGAGAGAUGUGGCUGCUUUCUCUUUAAAACCUGUUAAACAGAACACAUCUAAGAGCUUUCGUUUGUUUUCUUUGUAGAAGGCCUUGAGUUAUGCAUAGUCUUAGAGAACAUUCAAAGUGAUUUGGAAGAGCGCUAAUCAAAACACCACACUGACGAGCCCUUUUGUUUUUAAUUUCCAGCUACUGAUAGUCUUUAUAAACUUUCUCUGCAAACCCUCAACGCAGACAUUUUCUUAAAACAACGCCAGACCUCACCGACACCUGCUUCCCCGUCUCCCCCAGCUGCCCCCUGCCCCUUUGUGGCCCGGGGCAGCUACAGCAGCAUCGUCAACAGCAGCUCCAGCAGGUAGGCCUGCUGCUUCCUUUCCGGUCCUCAGCUUGCAAUGUGCCUAAAACCCGAUGUCACACCCUUUAAAUGGAAACACUUAGCGGCCACAGACCACUGUCUGGUGUUACUUCUGAUGGCUGCCAGCUUGUGUGGGCCCUUUUACCUGGGGUCCACCCCCGCUUCCUGCUGCUGUGCCCAGCUCCAACAGUAACCCGGUUCCGAUUCUAAUCCAUUCAUUCUUACCACCUGUGGACCGAGAAAUGCACCAUUUAACUCACUAGAGUGAUAUUCUCAGUGAGCCAAUGAACAUUUACUAAGCCUUACAUGAAGACCUAAAGGGGAUUCCUGUGAGUUGGGAGUAUGGGUUUAUGUGACACUAAUUUUGGCCUUUGGACAAUUUGGCUUAGGACUUAGAAGGGCAGGACCUGGUCCAAGACCGUUGUGCUGGGUGAGGUGCUGCAGUAGGGGAUGUGUGCACCCGGGAGGGCAGCCUCCUGACCACACAGACAGGAUGCAGGAAGCAUGCUGUUCUCCGAGGCACGGAGCCUCACUCAUGUCCGCCUGCCACAGCGUACCGCAAGCCUGACGGUCACGGAUGGCACUCUCACCGUGUGCCUCGCCGUGGCGUGGGUUUCUGUGCAUCGCGUCACCGGCCAGCCUGGGGUCAGGUCCUCCCCGCCGUUGCCCAAGAGGCAGUAACCACUGAGGCUGGGGGAGCCACCCCGCUUCUGGGCCUUGCCACAGGAGCACCUCGCCGUGUCCUGGCAGGGAAGGAAGACUCCCUGAGGCCCCGCCCUUUCCAGUGUCGGUGGCUGCCCUCUGCAUUUCCUGCCGAGUGGCUCUCUAGCAUUCUUCACAAAAGUGUGAUCGAAGCCUCUGCCAGUCCCUAAAUUGUGAUCCCUGCCCUGGUCUCUUUCAUAGUGAUCUUUUGUUUUCUUACCUUUCUCCAGAAAGCCCUCUAUCUCUGUCUGAUUAAGCAGUCUGAGGCCCCAGAGCAUGUGACAUGAGGCUGAGCGAUGCUCUGUGAGCUGCCCCACUGCAGAGAAGCUCACUCAGGGCUCAGUCCUGCCAGCCCCACACCUCCCCGAGACAGGGCACUGCUGAUGAGGAAUGAGUUCUCUCUUUGCUUCUUUUUCAAGUGACCCUAAAAUAAAACAGCCAAAUGGAAGCAAACACAAGUUGACAAAGGCAGCCUCGCUCCCGGGCAAGAACGGCAACCCCACUUUUGCUGCAGUCACGGCUGGCUACGACAAGAGCCCAGGUCAGUGCCUUUGCUUCAGAGACCUGCCACGCCAGGCGCCAGGCCUGGUGGAAUGACCUCUGUCCUAAUGGGCCUUCCAUUGAUUGAGUGUCCAUUGUUACAGGUGGGAAUGGCUUUGCUAAAGUUUCUUCAAACAAAACAGGUUUCUCCAGCAGCCUUGGCAUUUCACACGCUCCUGUUGACAGCGAUGGCUCAGACAGGUACGGUAGACCACCACUAACCGCUAGAAAGACGGAAGGCUUCUCAAGUCGGGUUAGCACCUUUUAUCCAUAAAUGGGUUUCAGGCCAUUUUCCCCCUAAUUUACAAGGAGGCAUUUGUCAGAAGUGGUCAAGUGCCUCUAAGAAAUCAUGUCUGCUGGGUGGAAGCAGAAAGCCGGCUGCGGUGCCUUCCCCAGGGGGUCCAGAUAGAGAAAGGGGGCACCCAUGCCUGUCUCAGCCGGGCAGACACGCAUGUUACACCUGUUCUCACUCUCCUCCAUCUCCUGGUCUGUGGUAAGAUGUGAUCUGAUCAUUAAAAAUAGAAGAGCAAAAGUGACUUGGGAGGGGGGAAAUCUGGAGCAAAUACUAGCCAAUUUAUAGUAAAUCAUUGGCCACGCCUCUUUCUUGAGCCAGGCUUGUUUAUCAUGCAGGGGGUGUGGUGGCCUGCAGCAGUCACCUUGGUUGACUUUUCCAGAUAAGCAACAAUAGAGCCCCAAUUUACCUACUUUGCACUAAUAGGAAAUGAGUUCUAGAUUUGAAAUAGUUUUUAAAUAAAUCUUCCAGUACCAAAAAGCAAACAGAAGGAAAAAAUGUCUGUUUCUCUGCAAAACACUUGCUUUGAACCGGGCUGUGAGCUAGUGAUAGGGCAUCCGGAGCUCUGGGGCUCCCUCCGACUCAACCCUUGUGGUAAGCAGCCAUUGUUCAGCUCUUCCUUUUGUCUUUGUUUUUAAUAUUUGAGUACCCCCAGUUGAAGCAGUGUCUCCUGUUUGUGAAGCUGUGCACUAUGGAUCCGUUUGCACUAACCACCAUACAUUUUUGUGUGUUGCGUUUUCCUCUUGUAACAUUUAGCUCGGGUUUGUGGAGUCCCGUCAGCAACCCAAGCAGCCCUGACUUCACUCCCCUCAAUUCGUUCUCCGCCUUUGGAAACUCUUUUAAUCUAACUGGUGGUGAGUGUUUAACACUAGAUGUGUAACUAAUAAGCCUGUGGACAGAGGAAGGGAGAGGAGGUGUGGUUUUGUGUGCUGGAGAACACAGCACAGCAGCACUGUGGAAGAGGCCCCGCAGGAAGCUCCCUGGGAAGGGUCCCCUCCCCUCUUCCUCCCUCAUCCACACCAGCAGCCCAGAGGGGCAGUGGACCAGGCUCGACACGGUGUGCGCACACCAGUUGGUGUGAGUUCCAUGGCAGGUAUUGAAGGGCUUCACAGAAGGGUUCUGGUCUGAAAUGGGACCCCUGAGUGUGCCAGGGGUCCUCCUCUUGCUGUCCAGAACUAGAGGUCACCAUGGAAGCUUCGCAUUAGCUAUCAUGUGAGAGUGGGGAAUGUUUGCAUUUGGAUGUCAUCGGUGGCAUAUCAGCUCGUGCACUAUGCGUUUGAGUUCUGGAGGACACUCCUGCCCCUACUUCCUCUGGGCUGUGGUGGGGCUGGUGAAGUGGGUGUGGUGGCUCCAGGAGCAGUGGUGGGAGGUAUGCCAUUGAGUGAAGCCCCAUAUGCUAUAGUGAUCAUGGCAAAACCAAAUAUGGACUUGAUGACUGUUGCUUUAUUUCCAGAAGUUUUCAGCAAACUCGGAUUAUCUCGAUCGUGCAAUCAGGCCUCACAGAGGAGCUGGAACGAGUUUAAUAGUGGCCCUUCAUACCUUUGGGACUCGCCAGCGACAGAUCCCAGUCCUUCCUGGCCAGCCAGUUCUGGCUCCCCGACCCACACAGCCACAUCGGUCCUCGGUAACACCAGCGGCCUGUGGUCCACCACUCCAUUCAGCAGCUCCAUUUGGUCCAGCAACCUUAGCAGCGCCCUUCCCUUCACCACUCCAGCAAACACGCUGGCAAGCAUCGGCCUCAUGGGCACAGAAAACUCCCCUGCUCCUCACGCUCCCUCCACCUCCAGUCCAGCUGACGACUUGGGACAGACCUACAACCCGUGGCGGAUAUGGAGCCCCACGAUUGGAAGAAGAAGCUCGGACCCUUGGUCUAAUUCGCACUUUCCUCACGAGAAUUAAAUUAAGCAAAAAACAAACAAACAUAGUGGGCCCUCGUCUAGAUCAUGAUGUGCCAGUUUCUGAGACAUCUUUUUAAGGCUCUUACUGCAGCUCCCCUCCCCACCCUCCUCAUCUUUGCAAAACAGACCCAAGCAGGGCAGGCUCAGACCACUCGCUUCUUUCAGAUCUUUCUUGCAAUUAUGAUAACAUGAGAUUUGCUGUUGUGCUUUUAGAGAAAAGUCUGGACUCAGCCACAAACUCUAAUAAGACCUGUACAUCUGAGAACCUUUCCCGUUACUGCGUUUUCACCACCUGUCUUCCCCAUGCUUUAUUUAUCUGUAUGAACACAGAUUUGACAUUACAGCUAAGGAAAUAAUUUGAGUUGAUUCAGAAAUCCUGGCAUGUGACAAUUUUGUUAAAUUACCAAGUUUGGUUUUUAAUAAUUUCUCAAUAUUAUGCGCCAAGAUCUAAUUUUAAAACUGUAUGAGGACUUUGUGCUGAAAAUAGAGUAUUUUUUUAAAGUAAAGUAAAGUAAGGCUGUCUUGGUUUAAAAGCAGAUUACAGAAAUGUAAGUCAACUUAAGAACAGUGAAUGAAUGUAAAAACAUUCAGUUGAGACCAUAUGCAUUUUCUGUGCUGUUUGUACUUGAGGUAUGUAACAUUUGUAUACCUGAACUUAUUUUAAAGAUGAACUGAAAUGCACAUAGCCAAGUCUUGAGAUACAAGAUUGAAUGUGUAUUUCUUAAAAAUACAACUUUGUGUUGUACUUUGAAAUAAAUGAUGCUUUUUUCAAAAGCC
rnacentral:sRNA from 1 species